rnacentral:lncRNA from 1 species
UAUUCAAUAGAUAUAUAUGGCGUUUUAAUAGAUAUGUAUGUAUGAUGCUUCUCUUGUUGAAAUACUCCCAUCUACCCAUCUAUAUAUGUACAUUAUGCACACAUAUACGUAUAUACACACAACAAUUGGAAUUUAGUAGUAAAUAUCUAUGAAUGAAAAGUACUGUUAAAAACAUUAAUCUUAAAAGGUUUAGCUGAAAUAUAAGUAUAAACCAGGUAUGUUUUGGCUAGACUUGAUUCAAUUACAGUAGGAAAAUCCUCUUCCUCAUGGUUAUGUUUUGUGAGCCGUUAUCAAUGUCUUUUCAGGUUAACAGACAUCAGAAUCCUGAAAGCUGCCUUCGUGGUAUAAUUCUUGACUGGUCUGGGGAAGUCUGCGUCUUAGCAACCAUGAAGACUAAGAGAGCCGCCAUGCAGAAGGAAAAAGAACAGACUGGGGAAAAUGGAUAUCAGGUGGCAACUAGAAGUAUCUGCCUCAUUUGUUGAGGAUUGAUGGAAGAUAUAUGAAGAAUGGAAAACUAAAGUCCUGCAAACAGAUGAAAGGUCAAGUAAGACAUUCUAUUUAUUUAGAGAAACCAGAUAAUUUCCCAGUUCUUCAGAGAUUACUCCUUGAGAGGUGAGAGAGGGAUUUAAUGGAGAGGAUGAGAAUUGAAUUAUCCCACUUACUGACGUGGAAAAAUAAAUUUCUAAGCACACUUCUCCA